GGCCAUAGCUGAGUGGUAGAGCAUUUGCUUUGCAUGCAGAAGGUCCCAGCUUCAAUCCCCAGCAGCACCU